rnacentral:rRNA from 1 species
GCUACGGGAGGCGGCAGUGGGGAAUAUUGCACAAUGGGCGAAAGCCUGAUGCAGCAACGCCGCGUGAGUGAUGAAGGCCUUCGGGUUGUAAAGCUCUGUCUGCUGGGGACGAUAAUGACGGUACCAGAGGAGGAAGCCACGGCUAACUACGUGCCAGCAGCCGCGGUAAUACGU